AGCUACUUUAAGCAGGAUCCUUGGUACUAAAAGCUAGAGGAGGAGGAGGACCCCGGGACAGGUCUGCAGGAACUGGCUGGGACCAGCAACAGCGGUUCUGGAGUCUGGGAGCUGAAUGCUUGGACUCAGAAGUGGGCUCUACUAUUUAUCUGCCUAGAUGUGGAAAAGCUACAUAACUCUCUGCUCUCUGAGUUUUGGCACCCCUACUGUCAUGGGGGGAAGAUAAGGAACCACCCUCACAGGGGUAUCGUGAGGACGGACUGUGGUACACAGGAGGGAAGUAGAACCCAGCACUGCCAUCUGCGCGUGCUCAGUGAUGGUCAUCCAUGGCUGCCCGCGCGGAAACUAAGGCCUGGGCUGCCCUUCAAUGCCUCAGCGCAGACGCAAACCCCAAUGAGGGGACAUGGGCGAUGUCAGAAGGACAAGGGAACCCAUGAAGAAGGACCCCAAAUGGUAACCCCCCAAAAAUGUCUGUCUUUGCACCACUGAAUAAAAAGCCUAUGCACACAAGGAUACAGACACAAAAGAUUUUAAAUCUUUACCAUCAAUAAAGAUAACUUUUAUAACAAAUCUAAACUUUGAAAACGGGUUAUUCCUUACAAAGUAAUUCUCCCUCUGAAAUGUAGACGGAAUGACAACUCUACAAAGUCGGGGUAUUGCAAUGCCCUCUGGAGACGUGGGAGAGCUGGGCGGGGCGGAAGGUCCCUGCAGUCUCAGCUCCCUGCAGUCUCAGCUCCCUGCCCGCCAGCCUGGGCAACACAGCAAGACCCUGCCUCCCGGCACGCGGCGCGCUGAGCGCAUGCGCCGCAACACUAAUGGGCAACGGCGUCUGCCCGGCGCAAAGCAUCGCCGAGGUUUUCUAGAGAGCCCAGAGGGUCCCACUCUUCACAGCGGAGGGUCCCACUCUUCACAGCGGAGGGCACCGAGGCAGCACAGAAGUUUCCACUUGAGUCCCACCAAGGCUUUAAACCCCAAACUCCCAAAGUACAGGAGUCCGGGGGUGGAGAAAUACAUUACAGGGAACAAGCAGAUGCAUCCAGAGGGGACACCCUUAACCACAGACAACCUGCAGACCCCGGCCUCUGCACCCUCAAGACAGGAGGGGAGAAAUGGCACCUGCCACGGAGAGUGAGAAAGGGCCAGCCCUAACCUGCUGGGCGCCCUGGCCGACUCAUCAAGGCGACCCAGGGCUCACAUCUCCAAGGAACGCCUUGCCGUACUCCGGCUCAGUGACAGCUCACACCGGUCAGCCUCUGUGCCAGCACUGGGUUAAAUCUUCAACACAGACCAAGCCAUCGGAUUCUCGUUACCUGGUAUCACCCAUGUCACAGAUGAGAAAGCGAUGGGAAAGUGCCCAAGGUUACAGAAUGAGCGCCUGAGCUCAGGGACUUGUGGUGGGGCUUGAAAGGAACUACACCACCCCGUCCGAGAGAGGGCCGCCGUGCUGACCCAGUUACUGUUACUGCCACAAAACUGAAUGCUGGAACUCCGAAUGAGUUAGCUCGGGACAGUGCUGGCUGCCCCAAACCUGCAGGGCCUUAUGUUUAAAUCCCAAAUCCUCAUCCUCCUAACUAACCAGACUUUGGGUUUAGGUCUCAGCUAACUGCCUUGACACCUUCCCCUACCCCGGCAUGAAUGGAAAUCAUUUUUAUUUAAUUAAAUGAGUGGUAUUCAUGGAUUUCCUGCUUGAUCAAUUAAGGAUGCUGGCUGGGUGCUGUGGUCUGCGCCUGUAAGCCAAGUCCUCAGGAGGUCAAGGCAGGAAAGUGCUCCAGGUCUGAGGCUGGCCUGGGAUCACAGUGAGUUUGAGGUCCGCCUGAGCUAUACAGAAAGACCCUGUCUCAAUCAAGCCAGGUAACACACAUAAACAGACAUUAAGAAA
rnacentral:lncRNA from 1 species